CCAGACUCCUACGGGAGGCAGCAGUGAGGAAUAUUGGUCAAUGGUCGGGAGACUGAACCAGCCAAGCCGCGUGAGGGAUGAAGGUACAGAGUAUCGUAAACCCCUUUUGUCAGGGAACAAAGGCGGGGACGCGUCCCCGGAUGAGUGUACCUGAAGAAAAAGCAUCGGCUAACUCCGUGCCAGCAGCCGCGGUAAUACGGAGGAUGCGAGCGUUAUCCGGAUUUAUUGGGUUUAAAGGGUGCGCAGGCGGAGGUGCAAGUCAGCGGUCAAAUUGCGGGGCUCAACCCCGUACUGCCGUUGAAACUGGCAGUCUCGAGUUGGAGAGAAGUAUGCGGAAUGCGCGGUGUAGCGGUGAAAUGCAUAGAUAUCGCGCAGAACUCCGAUUGCGAAGGCAGCAUGCCGGCUCCACACUGACGCUGAGGCACGAAAGCGUGGGUAUCGAACAGGAUUAGAUACCCUAGUA
rnacentral:rRNA from 1 species